GACGAACGCUGGCGGCGUGCUUAACACAUGCAAGUCGAACGGAAAGGCCCUGCUUUUGUGGGGUGCUCGAGUGGCGAACGGGUGAGUAACACGUGAGUAACCUGCCCUUGACUUUGGGAUAACUUCAGGAAACUGGGGCUAAUACCGGAUAGGAGCUCCUGCUGCAUGGUGGGGGUUGGAAAGUUUCGGCGGUUGGGGAUGGACUCGCGGCUUAUCAGCUUGUUGGUGGGGUAGUGGCUUACCAAGGCUUUGACGGGUAGCCGGCCUGAGAGGGUGACCGGCCACAUGGGGACUGAGAUACGGCCCAGACUCCUACGGGAGGCAGCAGUGGGGAAUAUUGCACAAUGGGCGGAAGCCUGAUGCAGCAACGCCGCGUGCGGGAUGACGGCCUUCGGGUUGUAAACCGCUUUCGCCUGUGACGAAGAGUGAGUGACGGUAAUGGGUAAAGAAGCACCGGCUAACUACGUG
rnacentral:rRNA from 1 species